AACGAACGCUGGCGGCGUGCCUAACACAUGCAAGUCGAACGAGACCUUCGGGUCGAGUGGCGCACGGGUGCGUAGCGCGUGGGAACCUGCCCUUAGGUUCGGAAUAACUCCUCGAAAGGGGUGCUAAUACCGGAUAAUGUCUUCGGACCAACGUUUUAUCGCCUUUGGAUGGGCCCGCGUUGGAAUAGCUAGUUGGUAGGGUAAAGGCAUACCAAGGCGACGAUCCAUAGCUGGUCUGAGAGGAUGAUCAGCCACCCUGGGACCGAGACCCGGGCCAGACUCCCACGGGAGGCAGCAGUGGGGAAUAUUGGACGAUGGGCGAAAGCCUGAUCCAGCAAUGCCGCGUGAGUGUUGAAGGCCUUAGGGUUGUAAAGCUCUUUUACACGGGAUGAUAUUGACAGUACCGGGAGAAUAAGCUCCGGCUAACUCCGUG
rnacentral:rRNA from 1 species